GACGGAGGAUGCAAGCGUUAUCCGGAAUUAUUGGGCGUAAAGCGCGCGCAGGUGGUUUCUUAAGUCUGAUGUGAAAGCCCACGGCUCAACCGUGGAGGGUCAUUGGAAACUGGGAGACUUGAGUGCAGAAGAGGAAAGUGGAAUUCCAUGUGUAGCGGUGAAAUGCGUAGAGAUAUGGAGGAACACCAGUGGCGAAGGCGACUUUCUGGUCUGUAACUGACACUGAGGCGCGAAAGCGUGGGGAGCAAACAGG
rnacentral:rRNA from 1 species